GACGAACGCUGGCGGCGCGCCUAACACAUGCAAGUCGAGCGAUGAAAUUUUAACCGAUCUCUUCGGAGAGAAGAUAAAAUGGAUUAGCGGCGGACGGGUGAGUAACACGUGAGAAACCUGCCUUUCACAAGGGGAUAGCCUCGGGAAACCGGGAUUAAUACCCUAUGACACAUUUCCUUCGCAUGGAAGAAAUGUUAAAACUCCGGUGGUGAAAGAUGGUCUCGCGCCUGAUUAGCUAGUUGGUGGGGUAAUGGCCCACCAAGGCCAUGAUCAGUAACCGGCCUGAGAGGGUGAACGGUCACAUUGGAACUGAGACACGGUCCAAACUCCUACGGGAGGCAGCAGUGGGGAAUAUUGCACAAUGGAGGAAACUCUGAUGCAGCGACGCCGCGUGAGCGAUGAAGGCUUUCGAGUCGUAAAGCUCUGUCCUAUGGGAAGAUAAUGACGGUACCAUAGGAGGAAGCCCCGGCUAACUACGUG
rnacentral:rRNA from 1 species